AACGAACGCUGGCGGCAUGCCUAACACAUGCAAGUCGAACGAGACCUUCGGGUCUAGUGGCGCACGGGUGCGUAACGCGUGGGAACCUGCCCUUAGGUUCGGAAUAACUCCCCGAAAGGGGUGCUAAUACCGGAUAAUGUCUUCGGACCAAAGAUUUAUCGCCUUUGGAUGGGCCUGCGUUGGAUUAGCCAGUUGGUAGGGUAAAAGCCUACCAAGGCGACGAUCCAUAGCUGGUCUGAGAGGAUGAUCAGCCACACUGGGACUGCGACACGGCCCAGACUCCUACGGGAGGCAGCAGUGGGGAAUAUUGGACAAUGGGCGAAAGCCUGAUCCAGCAAUGCCGCGUGAGUGAUGAAGGCCUUAGGGUUGUAAAGCUCUUUUACCCGGGAUGAUAAUGACAGUACCGGGAGAAUAAGCUCCGGCUAACUCCGUG
rnacentral:rRNA from 1 species